rnacentral:rRNA from 1 species
GUUGUCGUCAGCUCGUGUCGUGAGAUGUUGGGUUAAGUCCCGCAACGAGCGCAACCCCUAUCUUUAGUAGCCAGCGGCCAGGCCGGGCACUCUAGAGAGACUGCCAGGGAUAACCUGGAGGAAGGUGGGGAUGACGUCAAAUCAUCAUGCCCCUUAUGAGCAGGGCUACACACGUGCUACAAUGGCGUAAACAAAGGGAGGCAGAGCCGCGAGGCCGAGCAGAUCUCAAAAAUAACGUCUCAGUUCGGAUUGUAGUCUGCAACUCGACUACAUGAAGCUGGAAUCGCUAGUAAUCGCGAAUCAGAAUGUCGCGGUGAAUACGUUCCCGGGUCUUGUACACACCGCCCGUCACACCAUGGGAGUCAGUAGCGCCCGAAGUCAGUGACCCAACCGUAAGGAGGGAGCUGCCGAAGGUGGGACCGAUAACUGGGGUGAAGUCGUAACAAGGUAGCCGUAUCGGAAGGUGCGGCUGGAUCACCUC